AAUUCGAUGCAACGACGAAAACCUUACCACCUUGACAUGUACGGAAUCCUUAGAGAUAGAGGAGUGCUCGAAAGAGAGCCGUAACACAGGUGCUGCAUGGCUGUCGUCAGCUCGUGUCGUGAGAUGUUGGGUUAAGUCCCGCAACGAGCGCAACCCUUGUCAUUAGUUGCUACAUUCAGUUGGGCACUCUAAUGAGACUGCCGGUGACAAACCCGGAGGAAAGGUGGGGAUGACGUCAAGUCCUCAUGGCCCUUAUAGGUGGGGCUACACACGUCAUACAAUGGAUGGUACAGAGGGUCGCCAACCCGCGAGGGGGAGCCAAUCCCAUAAAGCCAUUCGUAGUCCGGAUCGCAGUCUGCAACUCGACUGCGUGAAGUCGGAAUCGCUAGUAAUCGUGGAUCAGAAUGUCACGGUGAAUACGUUCCCGGGUCUU
rnacentral:rRNA from 1 species